rnacentral:lncRNA from 1 species
UGCAUACAUAGCUCUGAUUACUCGUUCAUGUUUGGUUUUAUAUUUGGUCCGUAAUGGUUUUAUCAGUUCCUCGGCGUUUGAAUGUGGUUUUGCACUUUGAUAUAAUUAUAUUGGCAUCGAGCAUCGCUAAUAAGACAUUUUGCGCAUCUGGACUUUUUCUAGAGCAAUUACAAUUAAUACAGUAAAAGUUAACCGUCCUUUCGGUUCGGCCUUAAGGGAGUAUUGGGGUCGGGGUGGGUGGGGUGGAAUGGUGUGAUAUGGAUUGAGGUUAUUGAUAUGAAUAAUUUCAGCAGAUAGAUAUGAACACAUUUUUGUUUUUCAACUGCAAUAAAAAAG